CUGUAACUGAUUCAGGCAGUCAGAAUAUGCUAAUAGCAGCACCCACUUCACAUCGCGAUACAGGAAAUGUAGAAGCAGGAUGAUGGGCAUCUAUGUGCUUGAGAGAGACGCUCAGAAAUUACUUGGAAAAGCAAAACUGUUCCUUGCACUUCCAUACACGUUCCCCGGGAACCUAUUCAGAAGCUCCAGUGAGUGGUCCAUCAGCACAGGUUUCAAGCUGCAAGCUGGAGUCUUUCUACCACAGGCAACAGGAGCCUAGCAUGGCUGCCCUCCGAGAGGCCCAACAAGCAGCUGAAAGAGACAGUUGCAGAUCCUUACACUCAACCAGUGAACAGAAAAGACUGGAAGAAGCUGAAAAGAAAGGCAACCCCAUAGGAAGACCAGCAGUUUCAACCUGAACCUCUGAAAUCUCUCAGACAUUGAGCUACCAACAAAGCAGCAAACACCAGCUGAUAUGAGCUGGCCUUGAACUCAGAAAUUCGCCUGCCUCUGCCUCCCAAGUACUGGGAUUAAAGGCGUGUGCCACCACGCCCAGCCUGUUUCAACUUUUUAAAGAAAUGUUUCCUCUCUCUCCAGUUGAAUUGUUUUAAAGACUUGCAACACAACUUGGCACAUUAUCAGUAGCAUAUCAGUCAAAUAUUCAGAAAUUGCCAUUGAGUGGUUAAGUGGACUAAAUUUCAUUUAUCAGUUUCUAGCAUGACUCCCUCAAAACAUUUUAAAGUUCUUGAAGAAAGGGUAUUUUGUUUCUUAGAAUAUCGCUGUAUUCAAAUUAGUUUAUAGAAAACAUGUUUAUUACUGUUUUCUUCUCAACCGGGUAUUAAUAGUGAAAUUGGGGACAUGAAUCAUACUUUUUCAGUUUCAAAAGUUAAUGGGAGACAAAGAGUUAUUUAUUGAAUUUUGGUGUCGUUUCUUGUAUUUUCAACUUAUUACGUGUAUGGUAUUGUUUGGGUUCCAAGUUGGAUCAAGCUAAACUUAAAAUAACUACUAGAUUUAAAUAGGUAGUUAUUACCAAAUAUAUGCGGUUUCUUGUGAAUGCAUUAUUUAACAUCCAGUGGUGAAAUUGCUGUUUUAAAGGCCAAUAAAAACAUUCUCUAACACUAGAUCAAUUUAUGGAUAGAAAUUGAAACCAUAAAAGCAUACUGUAUAGAGAGACCCAGUGCAAAUACACUUAAGUGAAUUUAUAAAAUUCUUUAUUUAUAAUAAAGUGGUUUUUUUUAACAGUUUGGACUUAUAUAACUUUUGUAAUAUAGAGAAAGUACACUAAUGUUGGUUUUUCUUUAUAUAUCACAUUUUUAAUACCACCAAUACAAAUUUUAAUAAAACCUUUACAAAUGACCAACCUUUACAAAAUUAUUACUUUUAAUUUAAAUUAAUUGACUUACCAUGAAAUAUUUCAGUAUCAGAUAGAAAAAGUAUAAAGGGAAUUGAAUGAUUUAAAGAAUGCAUUUAUUUAAUUAACAUUUUCAUUAUAUAUUGGAAUAUGUACAGUUUGUUGUCUAUCAGGGGGCAGAUGCUUCUGAGUUCAUUCACAUAUUUCCCCGAGAGACUAAUGUUUAGAUGAAAUAAAAUUUACUAUGCAGUGUAUAUGGCAUAUAUAAUAAAAAAAAAACCUCUGCUGUUCAUUACAUUCGAGAAGAGCUGAGAAUAAUGAUGUUUUUAUAAUUAAGCAUUCUUGAUGAUUCAUUUUGGUUAUAUUAAAUACAUCCUUGCUGUCAAUUUUUCAUGAUCUUUUAAUAUAUUUAUCCAAAAUUAAGAACAAAUAAUAAAAAUAAAUAUCAGGCAAUUUACAUAUACUGAAUAUUGGACAGAAAUAUACUGUUAUUAAGACUGAAAUUGCUCAUCUUUACAUAUUUUAUGGUGAGCCUACUGAAUACAUGAACAGAUAUGAGAAAAUUGAUAAUAAUGAAAAUUGAUUCUUAGUGAUUUAUGCUUGAUAUAUGAUUGUAUAUGAUGGUACCAUUUUAAUGUGUUGUAUAGUAGUGUUUAUGAGUGUAUUUUAUCUGUCAUAACACCCUACAUUGUUGCUGUAGUAUUCAGAGUUAAGGAAGAUGU